rnacentral:pre_miRNA from 1 species
UUGUAACACGAACCGGUGCUAAAGGGUCCCUGCCCCGACAGCAUCUGUCAGUAGACGUUGGGCAGGACUCUUUAGCACCGGUUCGUGUUACGAA